CUCUAACUUAUAUUGAUGGCGUUCUAGACUUUAAGAUUGCAGAUAUUUGUCUUAUGUAUUUGAACUUCUCUCUAAGACAAGUAAUGUUGUAUGAACUUGAGUACUUACUUUUCUUAUGUAUUUGAAUUAUUAUCAGAAGUGGUUCUCUCUAAGAUCUCUAAUGUAAUCAUAGUUACAUGUACAUAAAUUUAUUGUUUAAUAUUUGUGUUGUCUUAUCCUUGUGCCAACUAUUGCC
rnacentral:lncRNA from 1 species